GGAAAACCUUUCAUCGGUGGUCAUGCGAACUAGCCUGAGGAUUCACAGCAGACUGGGGAAAAAAGCCUAAAACACCUUAAAUCCCAGAAUUUAACUGAGGACGUUUCCACUCGCAGUGGAGACUUACCGACGCCUCCUUUCUUCUGUGUCAACAAAUCAGCCGCUGCAUGCUUGUGAGUCCGGAUCGUCGCUUUGGAAAAACUCCACGGUGCCCCCAGAUCUGACAGCGUGCGAUCGCGGCACACGGUGCGUGGAGACAGGACGGUCCCAGUCCACGCCGAUCAUUCAGAAGGAAGUGGGGAAAACAGGAUGUGAAGUCAUCACGGGGGACACAGUGUGUGUGUUUGUUUGUUUGUUUGUUUGGGUUUUUUUUAAAGUUGAGUUUCUGGAAGUUUAAACAAAUCGUUGCACGGCAGCGGCAUGUCCAUGUGUCCACGCAGCAGGUAUUCAGAGGACACGUUCAAGACUCGGGGAAACUACGGCAAACCGAGUGGACAUUUAGUCCAACAACCUCUCCAUUAUGUGACUGCUUCUUAACCCAAUGCAAAAUAAUACUGGUAUUUUGCAAGUACUACCAAUACGUAAGAAAUUAAUAAUGCUUAAAAGUGCAAUAUUUCUUGCACUUUCAGAAAAUGAAGUGACAUAUUCCAAUUUUGAAGAUUAUCGUGCACAAAUAAUGAAAAUCCAAAAUUUAGGGUCUCAAAAAAUUUGAAAAAUGUCAAAAAAGUUGUUAAUGGAAACUCCUCAUGUCACAUCCCAAACAGCUUCAAGUGAAAACACCGAAGCCAGAGGUUUCCCAAGCCUAUGAACGCCUCUUUCACUCUGGGUUGGUCAGUAAGACACAAUCAUAGAGCAGACUGCUGACUUAACUGAUGUCCAGAAGACAGUCAUUGACACCCUUCACAAGAAGGGUAAGCCAAUAGGCCAUUGCUGAAGGAGGGGGUUGCUCAUAAAGUUCUGUGUGCAACCAUUUUAACAGAAAACGGGGUGGAAGUUAAGAAGUGGGAGAAGGUGCACCAAAAACAGGGAGCACCACAGCUUGGAACAGACUGUCAAGCAAAAUCCAUUCCAUAGGAGCCACCAGCAAGACAUCUGAGUACUAGACACAAAAGUUCCUUUCCCAAGUAAAGCCACUCCGGAACCAGAGACAAUGUCUUACCUCGGCUAAGGAGAAAAGGUCCAGAGUCCUAUAUGAAAGUAAAUUCUGCAUUUCAUUUAGAAAUCGACAUCCCACAGUGUGGAGGAAGAGUGGAGAGACACAGAAAGUCCAGUGUGAAGUUUCUAUAGUCAGUGACGGUUUGGGGUGCCAUGUCAUUGCUGAUGUUGGUCCUCUGGGUUUUCUGAAGUCUACUGUCAACACAGACAUCUAUGAAACUGCCAAAAAUGCCAAAAGUUGCUUCAGUGACCAUCAUGUCCCUGUUCUUGAUUGACCAGAAAACUCUUCUUACCUCAACCCCCGAGAAAAUCUAUGGGCUGUUGUGGAGAGGAAGACGAGAGAAGCCAGACCAGAUGACCAGAAGCAAUCUGGGCUGAUCGCCUAUGCCACGGUGCGUCAAUGCAGAAAUUCAUGCAACAGGAGGUCCAAUCAAGCAUUGAUAUUUUGUCUCAUGGUUCAGAGUUUGCACCUUGUUUCUACAAGUGUCCUCCACUAAAUCCUGCAGGUGGACAUAUGAAAAAGUUGUUGUAAAUGAAGUAUUUGGAAAGAGGAAAGUAACCAAGACCUCCAACUAGGUCAGAGUGUCCCAGUGAAAGUUCUUAUGGUCUGCAUCAAGCCGUAUCUUGAAUUUUCUGAAAGCUGUUCAGUAGGUGAAGCUUUGCCUCAUUUUGAAAGAAUUCAGCAAUAGAAUGUUAAGAAAGGAAUUUACAAGAAUGUCAUGACAGCAGUAUUUCCUGUUGGCCUCAAUAAGAUACUUAAAUAAAAUUAAUAAAUGAAA